UGGGGAAUAUUGCACAAUGGGCGCAAGCCUGAUGCAGCCAUGCCGCGUGUAUGAAGAAGGCCUUCGGGUUGUAAAGUACUUUCAGCGGGGAGGAAGGGAGUAAAGUUAAUACCUUUGCUCAUUGACGUUACCCGCAGAAGAAGCACCGGCUAACUCCGUGCCAGCAGCCGCCGUAAUACGGAGGGUGCAAGCGUUAAUCGGAAUUACUGGGCGUAAAGCGCACGCAGGCGGUUUGUUAAGUCAGAUGUGAAAUCCCCGGGCUCAACCUGGGAACUGCAUCUGAUACUGGCAAGCUUGAGUCUCGUAGAGGGGGGUAGAAUUCCAGGUGUAGCGGUGAAAUGCGUAGAGAUCUGGAGGAAUACCGGUGGCGAAGGCGGCCCCCUGGACGAAGACUGACGCUCAGGUGCGAAAGCGUGGGGAGCAAACAGG
rnacentral:rRNA from 1 species